GUUCAAGACCAGCCUGGCCAAGAUGGUGAAACCCCGAUGAUAAUAAGUAGUAGUACCUACUUGUAGGUCACUGUGAAUAUUGAAACCAUAAUUGAUGUAAAAUGCCAGGCUUCUAGUAGAUGUUUGAUGCACAGUUCCUCCCUCUUUACAAAUUAUGAAAUUCCUGGAAUUUAUGUUUUUAUUUUGAGAAGUUAACAUCUGUUCAUAUGUAUUUCGUUUUUAAUCUUUAGGACUUCCUUUUUAGGAAGAGAAAUACAAGGCUUGCUUCGGUCAUAUGCCCACACAGUGAUUAAACUAGGAUUAAAAUUUAGUUUUGAAUUUGGAGUCAAAAGUGGUUUUUCUGCUUCCCUACUGCUUUAAGAGCUCUUUGUCACCCUGAUUUAAAAACGCUUCCUAUGUUGUUACUGCCCCUGUAGGUACAAAUAGGCUUCAUCUCUGUUUAUUGGGUCCAUGAGGGCCAACUUUCCAGGGAAAUAAAACAGCUCACACACAGCUUUUGCCUCCAGUUGGUUUAACAGGUGGGACUCUACAAUGAUAGCACUUGGUAAGAUUCCUUUAAAAUAAAACAAGCCAUAAAAAUGACCCUCAGCAGAGUGGUCUUUUAAUGAAUUUUAUGCAUAAUAUGGAUGAUUGAAGCAGGCUUUGUAGUGUGUGUGUGUGGCAAGGGAGGGGCAGCUGAUGGUGGAAACUGCUUAGGAUGCAGGAGAUCAGAACAGGCACUGGUGACGUGCCCUUUCUGCCAUGGCUUCCCAAUCGUAACGGCCCUUCCUGUAUUCAGUGCACCUUGCAUCCGAAUCUUUUUCUGAGUCCCAUCUGAUGUGACUCCUUCCUUAUUUGAGCCAUGAGAGUAUUUUGGAUUUGGCAUUGUUCUGGGAUUUACAUUCUGCUUAAUGUUGUAUGUAUCAUUCAGGGUUCUGGUAAGAGACAGAUUGAAGUUGGUAACUAAGGCAACCAGGUAACUUAAAGAACUGUUUACAAAGAUGUGGGCGGGUCUUGGGAAAUCAGCGAGGAAGAGUAAAGUUGCUGAGCCAGCUGUACUAGAUGUGGAGGGUCAAGGGGGAAGGAAGGAGCAGAACCCCAAAAGAGUGGCUGUGGAGCAGGGGCUGCUUGGCAGCAGGGAAGGAGGAGCUGUGGCCUUCAGUUGAAGGACUCAGCCAGCCUACAGUGAACCUGAGUGGGGGCUGUGGUCAGGAAAGCAUGCCCCUGCCUCUCACUUCUCCUAUCCUUUCAUCUCCUGCUGGGGUCUACUUCAGAGGACAAGUUGGAGCUUUGGGGGAACAGAAUAGAGAGGAGAGUGGAUCUGGAUUGCAUUUAAAUACAAUCCAGAACAUUGGGGUUACUUCAGUAUUACUUAUUUCUCUACCUGAUGAAUACAAUUAAAAACCCUUGUCGUCAGACUCCUUUAUGCACAUUCUUAUUUUGUGUCUUUAUUCUCAGUCAUGGAUUUUGAAAGCAUAGUUGAUUUCCUAAUUCCAGUUCACUUUUAAAACUAUUCUAAUCAUGCUUCUGUCUCUGACACUUGCAGCCAAAUCCAGUGGCAAAUGUUGAGACAUACAGCACUCAUCAGUUACUUUCUUGCCUAAAACUCUUCACAGCUUCCAUGUUGCCGAGCCAUUGUGGUGCUUUUUUAAAGUGUAGCUCUGAGACCACUUGUGUGAAAAAUCACUUGAGAUUGUUAUUAAAAAUAUACAUUCCUAGGCUCUACUCAGUGAGGGACAGGGAGUCUGCAUUUUUGACAGGGCUCCUACUUACCCCCACCCCUGACCACCAUCACAGAUAAGAGACUUGGGCCAAAGUUUUUAAGCUCUCCAUAUUAUUAAAAGUUUAUUAAAAUGGAUUGUAUUUUUUUUUUUUUUUACAAUGCUUAUAUUUAACACGUUAACAUGUACCCACUAAAAUAUAACGCAGUGCAAUUGUGUUGUUGACAAUAUAGUCACAAGAUUUGGGAAAAAUAAAAUUCAUAGUGCCUUCUGCUGUAGGCAGUUUG